rnacentral:rRNA from 1 species
CAGGCUUAACACAUGCAAGUCGAGGGGCAGCAUGGUCUUAGCUUGCUAAGGCCGAUGGCGACCGGCGCACGGGUGAGUAACACGUAUCCAACCUGCCGUCUACUCUUGGACAGCCUCCUGAAAGGAAGAUUAAUACAAGAUGGCAUCAUGAGUCCGCAUGUUCACAUGAUUAAAGGUAUUCCGGUAGACGAUGGGGAUGCGUUCCAUUAGAUAGUAGGCGGGGUAACGGCCCACCUAGUCUUCGAUGGAUAGGGGUUCUGAGAGGAAGGUCCCCCACAUUGGAACUGAGACACGGUCCAAACUCCUACGGGAGGCAGCAGUGAGGAAUAUUGGUCAAUGGGCGAGAGCCUGAACCAGCCAAGUAGCGUGAAGGAUGACUGCCCUAUGGGUUGUAAACUUCUUUUAUAAAGGAAUAAAGUCGGGUAUGGAUACCCGUUUGCAUGUACUUUAUGAAUAAGGAUCGGCUAACUCCGUGCCAGCAGCCGCGGUAAUACGGAGGAUCCGAGCGUUAUCCGGAUUUAUUGGGUUUAAAGGGAGCGUAGAUGGAUGUUUAAGUCAGUUGUGAAAGUUUGCGGCUCAACCGUAAAAUUGCAGUUGAUACUGGAUAUCUUGAGUGCAGUUGAGGCAGGCGGAAUUCGUGGUGUAGCGGUGAAAUGCUUAGAUAUCACGAAGAACUCCGAUUGCGAAGGCAGCCUGCUAAGCUGCAACUGACAUUGAGGCUCGAAAGUGUGGGUAUCAAACAGGAUUAGAUACCCUGGUAGUCCACACGGUAAACGAUGAAUACUCGCUGUUUGCGAUAUACUGCAAGCGGCCAAGCGAAAGCGUUAAGUAUUCCACCUGGGGAGUACGCCGGCAACGGUGAAACUCAAAGGAAUUGACGGGGGCCCGCACAAGCGGAGGAACAUGUGGUUUAAUUCGAUGAUACGCGAGGAACCUUACCCGGGCUUAAAUUGCAGAUGAAUUACGGUGAAAGCCGUAAGCCGCAAGGCAUCUGUGAAGGUGCUGCAUGGUUGUCGUCAGCUCGUGCCGUGAGGUGUCGGCUUAAGUGCCAUAACGAGCGCAACCCUUGUUGUCAGUUACUAACAGGUUCCGCUGAGGACUCUGACAAGACUGCCAUCGUAAGAUGUGAGGAAGGUGGGGAUGACGUCAAAUCAGCACGGCCCUUACGUCCGGGGCUACACACGUGUUACAAUGGGGGGUACAGAGGGCCGCUACCACGCGAGUGGAUGCCAAUCCCCAAAACCUCUCUCAGUUCGGACUGGAGUCUCCAACCCGACUCCACGAAGCUGGAUUCGCUAGUAAUCGCGCAUCAGCCACGGCGCGGUGAAUACGUUUCCGGGCCUUGUACACACCGCCCGUCAAGCCAUGGGAGCCGGGGGUACCUGAAGUGCGUAACCGCGAGGAGCGCCCUAGGGUAAAACUGGUG